rnacentral:rRNA from 1 species
AGAGUUUGAUCAUGGCUCAGAACGAACGCUGGCGGCAGGCUUAACACAUGCAAGUCGAACGCUCGUAGCAAUACGGGAGUGGCAGACGGGUGAGUAACGCGUGGGAACAUACCCUCCGGUUCGGAAUAGCUCAGGGAAACUUGGAUUAAUACCGGAUACGGCUGAGAGGCGAAAGAUUUAUCGCCGGAGGAUUGGCCCGCGUUCGAUUAGCUUGUUGGUGAGGUAACGGCUCACCAAGGCGAUGAUCGAUAGCUGGUCUGAGAGGAUGAUCAGCCACAUUGGGACUGAGACACGGCCCAAACUCCUACGGGAGGCAGCAGUGGGGAAUAUUGGACAAUGGGCGCAAGCCUGAUCCAGCCAUGCCGCGUGAGUGAUGACGGCCUUAGGGUUGUAAAGCUCUUUCGCUCGGGACGAUAAUGACGGUACCGAGAUAAGAAGCCCCGGCUAACUUCGUGCCAGCAGCCGCGGUAAUACGAAGGGGGCUAGCGUUGUUCGGAAUUACUGGGCGUAAAAGCGCGUGUAGGCGGGUCUUUAAGUCAGGGGUGAAAUGCCAAGGCUCAACCUUGGAACUGCCUUUGAUACUGGAGACCUUGAGUCCGGGAGAGGUGAGUGGAAUUGCGAGUGUAGAGGUGAAAUUCGUAGAUAUUCGCAAGAACACCAGUGGCGAAGGCGGCUCACUGGCCCGGAACUGACGCUGAGACGCGAAAGCGUGGGGAGCAAACAGGAUUAGAUACCCUAGUAGUCC